GAAAGUUGAUCUUCUCUGCGCUCGUAGGAUUGCAAUCCUUUACUAGGUCAAUAGGAAAGUGGUAUAUAAAAGACCACUUUUUCCGCUUCGAAAUACGUUAUAAACGAUAGAAGCUUUGUCGUCUGACACCUAGUGCAGAUCGGUUUAAUUUCAUAUCAUUGUUCAACCAUGAGGCUGCUGUUCGUUGCCAUCCUCACUUUCCUAGUACUCAUGUCUACAGUUGAGUGGGCUUCGACCCAAACAACAAGACGGCCGCCUGCGUUUAUACAGAGAGGUAUCUGCCGACUAUGCUUGGGAAACAGACAGGCUAGGAAGGAUUGCUGUAGCGACGUGCAGAUGUGUUGCGAUGGCGAUGUCAUAAAUCCUGGAAAUUUCAUCUUUUCAACCACCUCACCCGGAAAAUAGUCUGACAGAUUCUUCCGUUAUGUAACUGUGCCAUGCUGUGUAUGCGUUUUGAAAAAUGUAUAUAAUUAUUUGUAAAUGUGUUCGUAAUAAAUGUGGAAAAAUUAA